UCCCUGAUGGCUCAGAUGGUAAAGCAUCUGCCUGCCAUGUAGGAGACCUGGGUUCGAUUCCUGGGUCGGGAA
rnacentral:tRNA from 1 species